CCUACGGGUGGCAGCAGUGAGGAAUAUUGGUCAAUGGACGAGAGUCUGAACCAGCCAAGUAGCGUGAAGGAUGACUGCCCUAUGGGUUGUAAACUUCUUUUAUAAAGGAAUAAAACGAGGCACGUGUGCCUUUUUGCAUGUACUUUAUGAAUAAGGAUCGGCUAACUCCGUGCCAGCAGCCGCGGUAAUACGGAGGAUCCGAGCGUUAUCCGGAUUUAUUGGGUUUAAAGGGAGCGUAGAUGGGUUGUUAAGUCAGUGGUGAAAGUUCGCGGCUCAACCGUAAAAUUGCAAUUGAUACUGGCAGUCGUGAGUACAGUUGAGGUAGGCGGAAUUCGUGGUGUAGCGGUGAAAUGCUUAGAUAUCACGAAGAACCCCGAUUGCGAAGGCAGCUUACUAAACUGUGACUGACAUUGAUGCUCGAAAGUGUGGGUAUCAAACAGGAUUAGAUACCCGGGUAGUC
rnacentral:rRNA from 1 species